UGGGGAAUAUUGCACAAUGGGCGCAAGCCUGAUGCAGCCAUGCCGCGUGUGUGAAGAAGGCCUUCGGGUUGUAAAGCACUUUCAGCGGGGAGGAAGGCGUUAAGGUUAAUAACCUUGGCGAUUGACGUUACCCGCAGAAGAAGCACCGGCUAACUCCGUGCCAGCAGCCGCGGUAAUACGGAGGGUGCAAGCGUUAAUCGGAAUUACUGGGCGUAAAGCGCACGCAGGCGGUCUGUCAAGUCGGAUGUGAAAUCCCCGGGCUCAACCUGGGAACUGCAUUCGAAACUGGCAGGCUAGAGUCUUGUAGAGGGGGGUAGAAUUCCAGGUGUAGCGGUGAAAUGCGUAGAGAUCUGGAGGAAUACCGGUGGCGAAGGCGGCUCUCUGGUCUGUAACUGACGCUGAGGCUCGAAAGCGUGGGGAGCAAACAGG
rnacentral:rRNA from 1 species